rnacentral:rRNA from 1 species
GAGUUUGAUCCUGGCUCAGGAUGAACGCUGGCGGCGUGCCUAACACAUGCAAGUCGAACGAAGCACCUUACCUGAUUCUUCGGAUGAAGGCCUGGUGACUGAGUGGCGGACGGGUGAGUAACGCGUGGGUAACCUGCCCUGUACAGGGGGAUAACAGUUGGAAACGACUGCUAAUACCGCAUAAGCGCACGGUAUCGCAUGAUACAGUGUGAAAAACUCCGGUGGUAUAAGAUGGACCCGCGUCUGAUUAGCUUGUUGGUGAGGUAACGGCCCACCAAGGCGACGAUCAGUAGCCGGCCUGAGAGGGUGAACGGCCACAUUGGGACUGAGACACGGCCCAAACUCCUACGGGAGGCAGCAGUGGGGAAUAUUGGGCAAUGGGCGCAAGCCUGACCCAGCAACGCCGCGUGAGGGAAGAAGGUUUUCGGAUUGUAAACCUCUGUCGCAGGGGACGAAGGAAGUGACGGUACCCUGUAAGAAAGCCCCGGCUAACUACGUGCCAGCAGCCGCGGUAAUUC